AUACGGAGGGUGCGAGCGUUAAUCGGAAUUACUGUGCGUAAAGCGGACGUAGGCGGUUGGUUAAGUUAGAUUUUAAAGCCCCGGGCUUAACCUGGGAACUGCAUUCAAAACUGGCGCACUAGAGUUGAGUAGAGGGGAGUGGAAUUUCAGGUGUAGCGGUGAAAUGCGUAGAGAUCUGAAGGAACACCAGUGGCGAAGGCGACUCCCUGGACUCGAACUGACGCUGAGGUACGAAAGCGUGGGUAGCAAACGGGAUUAGAAACCCCUGUAGUCC
rnacentral:rRNA from 1 species